CGGCGAACUGAAACAUCUAAGUAGCUGCAGGAAAAGAAAUCAACCGAGAUUCCCAAAGUAGUGGCGAGCGAAAUGGGAAGAGCCUGUACGUGAUAGUCGUUUGGAUAGUGGAAUGCCCUGGAAAUGGUAGCCAUAGCGGGUGAUAGCCCCGUACACGAAAUUCAAGCGGUGGUACUAAGCGUACGACAAGUAGGGCGGGACACGAGAAAUCCUGUCUGAAUAUGGGGGGACCAUCCUCCAAGGCUAAAUACUCGU
rnacentral:rRNA from 1 species